rnacentral:ncRNA from 2 species
GUGUGUAACAACUCACCU